UGGGGAAUAUUGCACAAUGGGCGAAAGCCUGAUGCAGCAACGCCGCGUGAGUGAUGAAGGCCUUCGGGUUGUAAAGCUCUGUCUUUUGGGACGAUAAUGACGGUACCAAAGGAGGAAGCCACGGCUAACUACGUGCCAGCAGCCGCGGUAAUACGUAGGUGGCAAGCGUUGUCCGGAUUUACUGGGCGUAAAGGAUGCGUAGGCGGAUUUUUAAGUGAGAUGUGAAAUACCCGGGCUUAACUUGGGUGCUGCAUUUCAAACUGGGAAUCUAGAGUGCGGGAGAGGAGAAUGGAAUUCCUAGUGUAGCGGUGAAAUGCGUAGAGAUUAGGAAGAACACCAGUGGCGAGGGCGAUUCUCUGGACCGUAACUGACGCUGAGGCAUGAAAGCGUGGGUAGCAAACAGGAUUAGAUACCCUGGUAGUCCACGCCGUAAACGAUGAGUACUAGGUGUAGGAGGUAUCGACCCCUUCUGUGCCGCAGUUAACACAAUAAGUACUCCGCCUGGGAAGUACGAUCGCAAGAUU
rnacentral:rRNA from 1 species